rnacentral:rRNA from 1 species
UAGUAUGUAUAUCGCUGUUAUAAGUUUAUUUUAUUAGAAUUAAAAUUUACUUUAUUUUUUAUUUUAAUUUAUUUCAAGUCGAGGUGCAGCUUAUAAUUAAGAAUUUAAGUGAAUUACAAUAUUAUUUUAAUAUAACGAAUUUUAAUUUUAAAAUUUAAAUGAAGGUGGAUUUAAUAGUAAUUGNAAUAAUAAUGUUACUUUGAUUUUAGCUCUAUAA